rnacentral:rRNA from 1 species
UAGGGAAUCUUCCGCAAUGGACGCAAGUCUGACGGAGCAACGCCGCGUGAGUGAAGAAGGAUUUCGGUUCGUAAAACUCUGUUGUUAGAGAAGAACAGCGCAUAGAGUAACUGUUAUGCGUGUGACGGUAUCUAACCAGAAAGCCACGGCUAACUACGUGCCAGCAGCCGCGGUAAUACGUAGGUGGCAAGCGUUGUCCGGAUUUAUUGGGCGUAAAGCGAGCGCAGGCGGUCAAUUAAGUCUGAUGUGAAAGCCCCCGGCUCAACCGGGGAGGGUCAUUGGAAACUGGUUGACUGGGGUGCAGAAGAGGAGGGUGGAAUUCCAUGUGUGGCGGUGAAAUGCGUAGAUAUAUGGGGGAACACCAGUGGCGAAGGCGACUCUCUGGUCUGUAACUGACGCUGAGGCUCGAAAGCGUGGGUAGCAAACAGG